rnacentral:rRNA from 1 species
UACGCAGGCGGUUAUGUAAGACAGAUGUGAAAUACCCGGGCUUAACCUGGGAAUGGCAUUUGUGACUGCAUAGCUAGAGUGUGUCAGAGGGGGGUAGAAUUCCACGUGUAGCAGUGAAAUGCGUAGAUAUGUGGAGGAAUACCGAUGGCGAAGGCAGCCCCCUGGGAUAACACUGACGCUCAUGUACGAAAGCGUGGGGAGCAAACAGGAUUAGAUACCCUGGUAGUCCACGCCCUAAACGAUGUCGACUAGUUGUUGGGUCUUAAUUGACUUAGUAACGCAGCUAACGCGUGAAGUCGACCGCCUGGGGAGUACGGUCGCAAGAUUAAA